CCGGAUACGAUCUUCGGUCUGCGGGCCGAGGAGGAAAGGUGGCCUCUGUAUAUGCUUCCUCUCGAGGAGGGGUCUAUGUCCUAUUACGCUAGUUGGUGAGGUAAUGGCUCUACCAAGGCGACGAUGGGUAGCCGUCCUGAGAGGGUGGUCGGCCACACUGGGACUGAGACACUGCCCAGACUCCUACGGGAGGCUGCAGUCGAGAAUCAUUCGCAAUGGGCGAAAGCCUGACGAUGCGACGCCGCGUGGACGAUGAAGGCCUUCGGGUUGUAAAGUCCUGUUGCACGCUAUGAAAUCCAGAGGCAUCAGAUCCCUCUGGUUGACGUAACCGUGUGAGGAAGCUCCGGCUAACUUCGUGCCAGCAGCCGCGGCAAUACGAAGGGAGCGAGCGUUGUUCGGAAUCACUGGGCAUAAAGGGCACGUAGGCGGCUCUGUAAGUCGGAUGUGAAAGCCCUCCGCUUAACGGAGGAAUUGCGUCCGAUACUGCAAGGCUUGAGGACAGGAGGGGAGAGCGGAAUUUCCGGUGGAGCCGGUGAAAUGUGUAGAUAUCGGAAGGAACGCCGGUGGCGAAAGCGGCUCUCUGGCCUGCUCCUGACGCUGAGUGUGCGAAAGCUAGGGUAGCGAACGGGAUUAGAUACCCCGGUAGUCCUAGCCGUAAACGAUGGGCACUACGUAGGGGGGAGUCCGAUCUUCUCCUGCCGGAGCUAAUGUAUUAAGUUCCCCGCCUG
rnacentral:rRNA from 1 species